UUGGAAUGAGGCUUUUUACUGUGUUAUGAUAUCUCCAAAUCCAAUGUUCAUUGCAUGAACUAUCAAUAGACAUUCCACCAUUUGUUUUUUUCCUUCUUCCUCCUUUCUUUCCUUUCCGAAAGGGUGGCAAAGCAAGUGAUUGCGUCAAUAUCCUCCAUCAUCCACAAAUUUGCCAUAAAGAUGGCGAUGUUGUGAAUGAGCAUGAAAGCAUUGGUUUCCUUUUGUGCAAAAAGAUGGCUUGGUAACACAAUCCAUAUUUAAUGUUGCAAGGGAAAGUGGACAUUGCUGUCUCUCUUAUAUUCUCACAAUCUCUGACAGGCAUAGUUAUGAUUUGAUUGGUCCACCACUACAGAAAACAGUCAUUGGCUUGCACUUUGUGUUUGUGAUGUUUGGCAGCCAUCCAUGGCUUUACGUUUAAUUCUCCUUUUUUGGCUCACUUUGGUCUUGUUACUUUUUUCAUUCACUUUAUUUUUGUUACUUUUGGGAACUGAAAAGGCAUUGGGAAGAUCGGGGUGUACUUUUCUGCUGACCAAUGGGAGGGCCCUGAACUUUGGAGUCUUUUUGGCUGAAUUUGUCCAGUUGAAAGCCACAUGGAUUUUUGCAAUGCUUUUGGAACACACCCACUUUUUUGUUGCUGUCCAAAAGAUUUUUGGAGGACUGACAUGGAAGUGUGUGAAUCAUGAACCCAAAGUCUCCAAGGAAAUCAUCAAAGGAUAAAGGCUAGCCUCCACAACAUUCUCACCCCCC
rnacentral:lncRNA from 1 species